GCUUCAAUCGGAGGAAUUAGGGAGGAAAAGAGGGGAAAAAGAUCGGUGGAGGGUCUCUUAGGAAGGGGGAGGUCUCUUUAUAGAGAGCCCUAGGACUCCUGAUCGCCCGAGGACUCCUGAUCAUGGUGGUUUAAUCAGAGAAGAAGACUCCCGAUAGGAGUCUUCUUCCCGAUUCUCCUGUUCUUGUUUUUUUUUUUGUUUGGGCUUUGGAUUCGUUACUCGGGCUGGGCCUCACAAAGAAGAUAGAUGAAUGGUUAGGAUUUUAUUUGUAAAGGAUGGAUGGAUGGAUAGAUAGUUGGUUAAAUAGGAAAG
rnacentral:lncRNA from 1 species